rnacentral:rRNA from 1 species
UCCAGGAGCCAUAUCACCCUGCAACUCACAACUGGCAACCCACUGAAGCUAAGCAGGUGUGUGCCUGGUCACUACCUGGAUGGGAGACCUCCUGGGAAAAAUUAAGGUUGCUGCUGUAA